rnacentral:rRNA from 1 species
GAUGAACGCUGGCGGCGUGCUUAACACAUGCAAGUCGAACGAUGAAGCCCAGCUUGCUGGGUGGAUUAGUGGCGAACGGGUGAGUAACACGUGAGUAACCUGCCCUUGACUCUGGGAUAAGCCUGGGAAACUGGGUCUAAUACUGGAUAUGACUUCUCAUCGCAUGGUGGGGGGUGGAAAGAUUUAUUGGUCUUGGAUGGACUCGCGGCCUAUCAGCUUGUUGGUGAGGUAAUGGCUCACCAAGGCGACGACGGGUAGCCGGCCUGAGAGGGUGACCGGCCACACUGGGACUGAGACACGGCCCAGACUCCUACGGGAGGCAGAAGUGGGGAAUAUUGCACAAUGGGCGCAAGCCUGAUGCAGCGACGCCGCGUGAGGGAUGACGGCCUUCGGGUUGUAAACCUCUUUCAGUAGGGAAGAAGCGAGAGUGACGGUACCUGCAGAAGAAGCGCCGGCUAACUACGUGC